rnacentral:tRNA from 1 species
GGCCCUAUCGUCUAGAGGCUUAGGACGCCAGGUUCUCAAUCUGGUAACACGGGUUCAAAUCCCGUUGGGGCCG